rnacentral:rRNA from 1 species
AGUGAACGCUGGCGGUAGGCCUAACACAUGCAAGUCGAACGGCAGCACAGUAAGAGCUUGCUCUUACGGGUGGCGAGUGGCGGACGGGUGAGGAAUACAUCGGAAUCUACUUUUUCGUGGGGGAUAACGUAGGGAAACUUACGCUAAUACCGCAUACGACCUACGGGUGAAAGCAGGGGAUCUUCGGACCUUGCGCGAUUGAAUGAGCCGAUGUCGGAUUAGCUAGUUGGCGGGGUAAAGGCCCACCAAGGCGACGAUCCGUAGCUGGUCUGAGAGGAUGAUGAGCCAAACUGGAAAUGGGAAAGGGGCCAGACUCCGACGGGGGGGAGCAGUGGGGAAUGUUGGACAAUGGGGGGAAGCCUGAUCCAGCCAUACCGGGUGGGGGAAGAAGGCCUUCGGGUUGUAAAGCCCUUUUGUUGGGAAAGAAAAGCAGCAGGUUAAUACCCCGCUGUUCUGACGGUACCCAAAGAAUAAGCACCGGCUAACUUCGUG